GAUGAACGCUAGCGGGAGGCUUAACACAUGCAAGUCGAGGGGCAGCAUAGAGUAGCAAUACUUUGAUGGCGACCGGCGCACGGGUGAGUAACGCGUAUGUAACCUACCCUGUACAGGGGGAUAGCCCGGAGAAAUUCGGAUUAAUACCCCAUAAUGAUAUCGAGAGGCAUCUUUUGAUAUUUAAAGCUUCGGCGGUACGGGAUGGGCAUGCGUGACAUUAGCUAGUUGGUAAGGUAACGGCUUACCAAGGCUGCGAUGUUUAGGGGUCCUGGGAGGGUGCUCCACCACACUGGUACUGAGACACGGACCAGACUACUACGGGAGGCAGCAGUGAGGAAUAUUGGUCAAUGGGCGUAAGCCUGAACCAGCCAUCCCGCGUGAAGGAAGAAGGCGCUAUGCGUCGUAAACUUCUUUUCCAGAGGAAUAAAAUUUUGUACGCGUACAGAACUGAAGGUACUCUGGGAAUAAGCAUCGGCUAACUCCGUGCCAGCCGCCGCCGUAAAAC
rnacentral:rRNA from 1 species